rnacentral:rRNA from 1 species
AUUGAACGCUGGCGGCAUGCUUUACACAUGCAAGUCGAACGGCAGCGCGGGCUUCGGCCUGGCGGCGAGUGGCGAACGGGUGAGUAAUGCAUCGGAACGUGCCCAGUAGUGGGGGAUAGCCCGGCGAAAGCCGGAUUAAUACCGCAUACGACCUGAUGGUGAAAGCGGGGGACCGAAGGGCCUCGCGCCAUUGGAGCGGCCGAUGUCGGAUUAGCUAGUUGGUGGGGUAAAUGCUUACCAAGGCGACGAUCCGUAGCUGGUCUGAGAGGACGACCAGCCACACGGGGACUGAGACACGGCCCAGACUCCUACGGGAGGCAGCAGUGGGGAAUUUUGGACAAUGGGGGCAACCCUGAUCCAGCCAUGCCGCGUGCGGGAAGAAGGCCUUCGGGUUGUAAACCGCUUUUGUUCGGGAAGAAAUCCUCUGGGCUAAUACCCCGGGGGGAUGACGGUACCGGAAGAAUAAGCACCGGCUAACUACGUG